rnacentral:rRNA from 1 species
UGCAGGAUUAAGGCCCUAUGGGUUGUAAACUGCUUUUGUACGGGAAGAAACACUCUCACGUGUGAGGGCUUGACGGUACCGUAAGAAUAAGGAUCGGCUAACUCCGUGCCAGCAGCCGCGGUAAUACGGAGGAUCCAAGCGUUAUCCGGAAUCAUUGGGUUUAAAGGGUCCGUAGGCGGGCCUGUAAGUCAGUGGUGAAAUCUCUCCGCUCAACGGGGAAACUGCCAUUGAUACUGCAGGUCUUGAAUUAUUGGGAAGUAACUAGAAUAUGUAGUGUAGCGGUGAAAUGCUUAGAUAUUACAUGGAAUACCGAUUGCGAAGGCAGGUUACUACCAAUGGAUUGACGCUGAUGGACGAAAGCGUGGGGAGCGAACAGGAUUAGAUACCCUGGUAGUCCACGCCGUAAACGA